rnacentral:rRNA from 1 species
AUGCGAAAAAAUUCAGAGAUAGAAUGGAGAAAAUCAGAACACAGAGAGCGGGGAACGUACAGGUUGGACGAUGGACGAGGUGGACGACAGAACCUUUGCGCUCUUUUUAAGUGGGAAAAAGAGAAAGAAACGAGGGCAACUCCAAUGGGAGUCACAACGGAUAGCGGUCGGGACAAUCAUCAAAUUUCUCCUCAUUGGUCCGCCUCUCUUUUCUUAGACAUUUCAUCGAACAUGUUGUAUGCACUCCCGGCAAUGGCACGCACUGCACUCAAGCACGCGCUGGCUAGGACGCACGCUCGCCCGCGCCUCUGUGAGGAGACCGCGCUUCUGGGGCUCGAUGGCGGAUGCCAGACGGAGCACGCCGUCGAAGAAGGACGACGAUCCGCUGGGCGCGAAGCAUCAUGGCGGCCGCCUCCUCCUCAGCCACCAGAACCGCGGCGCCGCGCAGCAGAUCAUGGCCACGGACCACGGACAGGCGCGUAUGUAACUGCAGCCUCGUCGGUUCAGUUCGUGCAUCAUCAGCCCAGUGCAUGCACCACCGGAUUAGUUAGUCCGUACUCGGAGCGAACGACGAAGCCCGCCAUGCACUCCGCCGACGAGCCCAUGUCCACUCCGGCCGCGAGAAGUAGCACCGCGGCAGCAAGGGAGGCACCACGUAAGGUCGCAGCGGAGGACGGCGGCAAGAACACGGUGUCGCCGUCAAUUGAGGAUGAGCGGCAGAUCCCCGUGGACCCGGUCUCGCUGCGGCACCUGGGCAUGGUGACUGACCCGGAACCGCCGCUCUCCGAGCCGUCCCCAUCCUUUCGCCGCUCCGCCGGCCCACGUUCGUCGGCGCCAACCUCCCGUGCAGCCGAGAAGCUCGAGGGCGGGGGCCGCUCCAGCGGAGCUUCGUGCUGCUCCCCGUCCGCGUCGAGGUGGCCAGCGACAGACGGGACAGCGGAGCUCCGCGUGCGGGCGGCGAUGCGGGCAUCGACGAGCGACGGCGGCAAGACGAGGACAGGGGCGGACUUGGGGAUUUUUGCGAGGGAGGGAGAUCGUGGCUGA